UCCACAUGAGGUUUGUGAUACAAGUUCUCCGUGUCACGUAGCACACGACCAAAUGGAACAGAUUGGUGCAUCCUCAGAAGCUAAGAAGAGGUUGAAUUUUAAUGUGGAUGUUAUAAAUCUGAGUAUGUCGGAUCGUGCAAGACCAAAAGGACGGACAAU